rnacentral:tRNA from 1 species
GGUUUUAUAGUCAAUUAUGAUUUUAAAUUGCAAGUUUAAAGGUAAAGUUAUCUUUUAAAGCCU